UACGUAGGGUGCAAGCGUUGUCCGGAAUUAUUGGGCGUAAAGAGCUCGUAGGCGGUUUGUCGCGUCUGCUGUAGAAAACUCGGGGCUUAACCCCGGGCCUGCAGUGGGUACGGGCAGACUAGAGUGCGGUAGGGGAGACUGGAAUUCCAGGUGUAGCGGUGAAAUGCGUAGAUAUCUGGAGGAACACCGGUGGCGAAGGCGGCAGUCCGUGGACCGACGACCUGAACACUGAGG
rnacentral:rRNA from 1 species